CAAAGAGGAAAGAUUCACAAAUAUCGACAAUCAGGUGGUUGCUAAAGAUCUUAUUAAAAGUUACGGCGGGUCGAUAAACCAAUUUGUAAUUUAAAUCCUCUCUUCACAUGCGUACUUGAGAAAAGAAAUAUAAUACCACAUGCAAAUGAUUCCUUUGAUACUGUUACGGAAAAUUCAAACGCUUAAAGAGAUACUGAAGAAUUUCGCACCUGACUUCACAGAAGGGCGGAAAUAUAAAUAAUUCCCAGCUAUUUGUCCUCAAUCGGAAAUAAGUUCAGAAGGUAUUGCGGAUGACAUUUGCAAUUUAAUCAAUGUUGAUGGAAACGAGGCGAAUGAGGCAUAGAAGAGACCAUUGUAGAACAUGCGAGUUGAAAAUUAUCUUUGAAAGACCGGAAUAUCGUAGCGGAAUGCAAGCGGAAAUCGAUAGUGCGGACAGAUAACCUAAAUGCCGUGGCAUUUAUCAACCUCGAAAGUGAGGGAGAAAAUAAAUAAUGUAUUAAUACCAAUGGUUUGGAUUUAUAUAUGCUUUGGUAUAUCAUUGCUUUAAUACACUCGGGAAUUGGCAGUGUGUAGAUCUCUCAUAUUCUUGACAAGGAUAUUGGUUUUUUCACCAUUACACUUGCAUCGUUUUACUAAAAGCGAUGUUUCAUAUUGGAAUAAAAGUAACACAAUUGAAGAAAUCUGGAACUGUAAUAUAAGAUUUACUGUGUAUACAUUUACUCAUGAGAAAUCUGAGAGGUGAUGUUGGAAUAUUACCAGAUUUUAUGGAAUAAUUGCAAGACUGUUCUAACAUUGAGGAAAUUCGAUAUAGUCUCGAGAUUAUACGUGCUCCAAGUAUUUUUAAGGCUGUCAAAACAAUGGAAUAAUAAGGGCAGAUUCUUUUCUCAAUUAUGCGAAGAUGUUACAGCUUAUAUUAAGUAUGGUGCCGUCAUUAUUUGCAAUACUGCUGCUGAUAACGAAACUAUGCACAUACGUGGAAAGCGUCAAUGCUGAGGAUCCUCUUAAUCCACCGUAUAUAAUUGAGACGCAUAUAAACGGUGCAUUAACCACAGAAAACAACAUAAAACUGGAGUCUUUAGACAACCAGCAUGUUUAUGACACUCCUCCUGUUAACAUGCUUGACAUCUAUUGGCUCAACAGCUCCGUUCACUCCAUCUCAAUCAGAUGGGGUCUCAAUUCUAAUUAUAACCUAACAGGAUUUGUGAGAGAUUCGGUGGUAGAAUAUUUUCCUAAAGGUGGGCGUUUUAAAUCACACCCAUUAUCUAGUGACGUCAGGGAGUAUACGUUUGAAAAUUUAGAGGCGGGGACAGUUUAUACGGUAUGUGUUUACUUGUCGGAGAUAUACGGAGAUGGGAACCUUAGCACUAUAGUUCAUUCAAAGUGUGUAAAGAUUAAUACAAUUAAUUACAUUCGGAGAGACAGUAUUGUAAUAAUGAUAAUUACAUUAGGAUAUUAUGCAUUUAUGGGACUAAUAGGAUAUACACAGUGGAAACGUCGGCUAUGGAGAAUAAGAAAACACAACAAAAACAGGUAUAGUGAACAUAUGGACAGUGACAAUCAAAAUGUCUGUGUAAUGAGGUGGCGCGAAUUAGCUGAAAAAGAACGCCUUAUGUCUAAACCAGGAGGUUCUAUAGAAUGUGAUGACACCUAGGUGCCGUCUACAAUAAUAAUAAAAAAAAGAUUCUAGUCUACUCGGUGAAACAAAUAUAAUACUCGUUCGCUUUAUCAUACACAGCGAGCUUCCGAGAUCUCUCUAAUAGUAUUCAGUUGUUGUCAAAUGUUAAGGUCUACUUUGUUUUUGUUUUAUUGUACAUUUGUGGUUUAAAUUCAUUGGCAUUUUCAGUAAAUAAUUGUGAAAUUCUGGAACAUUAUUAAACAACAGAUUUUUGUAAUUCAUGAAUGCACUCCACGGGCCCUCAAAAUGGCAUGUCCCAUUUUCAGUCACUAGUUUAAUAUGAACUUGCCCUAUGACCUAUUGACUCUCACACAAUAGUGGUUACCUACUGAUCUCAGGCAAUAUCCUAAGUGUAUGGGUUGUAGUUCAAAGCGUUCUUUGGUAAUUGAACAAACACAAUUUUCAGUCUUAAUGUCAUUGUGACCUAGAUCUUUGCUCUACAGACCCCAAACCGUUUUCAGUCUCAAUAUCACUUUGGCCUUGACCUUUGACCUACUGACUCCAAAACAACAGGGAUUAUCUACCCACAGAAAUAAAUCUUUAAAAUCUGAAGACUUUAGGCCAAUGCAUUCUUCACUUAUUCAGGCACACUGUUUCAAUCUCAAGGUCAUUGUGACCUUGCCUUUUGUCCUACUAAACCUAAAACAAAUGGAAGCAUCCACUGACACAUCAAACUUAAAGUUUGACGACUGUAGGCCAAAGCAUUUUUCAGUGUUCGAUCGAAAACGAAUCUUCAGUUCAAGGUCAUUAUGACCUUGACCUUUGAUCUACUAACAAACUAAACAAAAGGGGUCAUCUAUAUGUCAAAGACAGUCAACUUAUGAAGUUUGACGACCGUUGGCCAAAAGGUUUUUCGGUUAUCGACAGGAAACCGGUCUUGAGCUUAAGGUCAAGAGGCCUUUGCCUUUGAGUAACCGAACUCAAAAUUAAUAGGUGCCAUUCGCUAGAUACGGUAAACCUAUCUACUAAGUUUGAGGUUCCUGCACAGAAACGUUCUUUUAGAAUAGAUUGGAAAUUGUGGCGACAGACGGACAUUUAAGAAAAGCAGAAUGAACACACGAAUAAUGUUUUUAAAUUGAUUAGCUCAAGUCAGAGUUAGUGACAACUAGGAAAAGGAUAAACUGUCCGAAAUGAUUUAAAAAAUGCUAUAAUCCAAGAAACUAUGUACUUAAAGUCUGUUUGCAUUGGUACAAAUGGCAUCUCUCUAGUGAAACGCUUUUAUUUCUUUACCCUCGGGACAGAAUACACCUACAACAGCGUAAACUUGCUCUUAGUUUAAACGGUGCUAUAUAUUCUUCAUCGGAUCAGAAAAAGAAACUGAAAAUGAAGUUUUCUCAAUGUAGUGUUAAAAAUGCUCAUUUUAUAGCUGAAGUUAAAAGUGAUGGAAAAUACUGUCAAUUUUAUAUGAAUUCUGCUAAGUAAAGGUGUUAUUUCCAGUAACACAGAAUACAUAUACAGACACAUUCUGUCUGUGAUGUUAAUAUAUGUUUUUCUGGUGGUAAUAAUGUCUCUGUUGUUUAUUUAUGUCUUUCAUGUGGUAAACAAGUGAGCCGAUAAUGAUUUUGUCUAAAAUGUGGUAGCCAUAUUUCUAUUAUGAAUAUAAAAUGUUUUCUCAUAUACUUCUUAUGGGUUUAAAUAUUUGAAUAACGCAGUAUAAAAAUAUAAUUGAAUCUAUUGAUUUUAUUACCUCCCAUUGUGGCCCUGACUGCAUACAUAAGUUCAUCUAGUGUUUUUGUAACCAUUCAGUUAUGCAUAUUUUCUAUUUAGACUUAUGCUUUGUCUGUUUUUAACAUAAAACAAAAAGCUUUACAGGAUUUGUAAGAAAAACGACCCUGUUUGAAAAUGUUCACUAAAUAUCUAAGUUAUCUGAAUACAUGUUAUAUAUCAAAUGAAACUGUAAAACAUAUAUAAUAUCUUAGAUUUAUUACAUGUUACAUGUUAAACAUGUUUAAAAGGUAUAGAUCUAUACAAAUUUAUAUCGCAUAUUAUAGGACACUGGUGUAAUGUGCUUCAUGUUAUCAUUUUAAAAAUGCUUGUUAUAUCGUAUGAUAUAUUUUCAUAUUUGGAAUGAAAUAUUUUAUUUUUGUUAAAUUAUACAGGGAGUUCAAUAGGCUGCGGAGCUCCAUUGAUGUAUUCAAUAUAGAUAUGUCUCCAUACUAUAUCAUGUCUCCACACUAUAUAUUAUGUUAUGUUCAUUAAUUUCUGAAACUGUUGAUUUAAAUAUGAAAUGUUGUUCUAGUAUUAUUACUCAGUCUGAUUAAACAUUACAAAAUUC